CCUACGGGAGGCAGCAGUGAGGGAUAUUGGUCAAUGGACGAGAGUCUGAACCAGCCAAGUAGCGUGAAGGAUGACUGCCCUAUGGGUUGUAAACUUCUUUUAUAUGGGAAUAAAAUGUUCCACGUGUGGGAUUUUGUAUGUACCAUAUGAAUAAGCAUCGGCUAACUCCGUGCCAGCAGCCGCGGUAAUACGGAGGAUCCGAGCGUUAUCCGGAUUUAUUGGGUUUAAAGGGAGCGUAGGUGGAUUGUUAAGUCAGUUGUGAAAGUUUGCGGCUCAACCGUAAAAUUGCAGUUGAAACUGGCAGUCUUGAGUACAGUAGAGGUGGGCGGAAUGCGUGGUGUAGCGGUGAAAUGCUUAGAUAUCACGAAGAACUCCGAUUGCGAAGGCAGUUCACUGGACUGCAACUGACACUGAGGCUCGAAAGUGUGGGUAUCAAACAGGAUUAGAUACCCUAGUAGUC
rnacentral:rRNA from 1 species